AAAAAAACAAAACAACAAUCGCUGGUUCGGCAAGCGGACGCUGUGGUCAUGAUUUCUUUGUCUACCGUACCGGCCCCCAACCUCCGUCCAACCCCGCUACUCUCUUCCCUUUCCCAACCUAAGCUUAAUCCUCCUAACGCCAACUAUAUCCGCUUAUCCAACCAAGUCCCUCCCGAAACAGACUCCGAGCCUCAGCCUCAGCCUCAGCCUCGGAAGCUGAAGGGCAGCUCUCAGCUCAACCGUUGGUCUAGGGCUCGAGCAAUCCGGUCUGGCCGUAAAUUGGACCUUCCGGGUCUGCGGACCCGAGUGGCGCAGCUUAAUCCUCCUGCACAACAAUCCAGAGAAGGCGAAUUGAAGGAGACUAGUCCUGUUACAACAGGAAAUAGAGAUGAUGAAGCCGCGGAGCUCACAACUGGGAAGUCCAUUUAUAUGGUCUCUGACGGAACCGGAUGGACCGCGGAGCACUCCGUUAACGCUGCCUUGGGGCAGUUCGAUUACUGCUUGGUCGAUCGUGGUUGUCCUGUAAACACCCACCUGUUUUCCGGGAUUGAUGAUGCAGAAAGGUUAAUGGAGAUUAUAAAACAAGCUGCUAAAGAAGGUGCAAUUGUAGUCUAUACUCUUGCUGAUCCAUCCAUGGCUGAAUCAGCUAGACAAGCCUGCAAGUUAUGGGGAAUACCAUCUACCGACAUUCUGGGUCCAAUAACAGAGGCAAUAGCUUCUCAUUUAGGCGUCUCGCCCUCUGGUCUUCCCCGUGGAGCUCCUGGGAGGCAGUUUCCCCUUUCUGAUGAGUACUUUCGACGGAUUGAAGCAAUUGAAUUCACCAUCAAGCAAGAUGAUGGUGCCCUGCCGCAGAACUUGUACAAAGCUGACAUUGUUCUUGCUGGUGUUUCUCGUACUGGAAAGACACCAUUGUCUAUUUAUCUGGCACAGAAAGGAUACAAAGUGGCAAAUGUGCCUAUUGUGAUGGGUGUCGAAUUGCCAAAUGGCCUUUUUGAGGUUGACCCAGAGAAAGUUUUUGGUUUGACCAUAAAUCCUGUGGUUCUACACACCAUUAGAAAAGCUAGAGCUAAGAGUCUUGGGUUCAGCCAAGAUGUAAGAAGUAAUUAUUCUGAGAUGGAUCAUGUGAGAGAAGAGUUGGAAUUCGCUCGCAGGGUUUUUGCACAGAAUCCUGUUUGGCCAGUGAUUGAAGUGACAGGAAAAGCAAUUGAAGAAACUGCAGCAGUUAUAUUAAGACUUCACCAUGAUCGGAAGCACAAAUGUUCAAUGCCACGAAUCUCAAAACUUUACUAAUAUGGAAAGUCUUAUUCUCAGCUCAAGCUUGAGUGGCUGAAACAGUAUGACAUGGAGGAUGCAUCAAGCUGUUGCAGGAUAGUCUCACAUCUUCUGGUAAAAAGGUUAGAGCUUGUGCUGGUGUAGCGCACACGAGCAUGAGCGCAUAUGAAAAUCUCAUUAUUGGAGCACUGUCUGCAUCUUUGUUUCACUGACAUGAAAACCAUACAACAAAAGGGCCUAUCUAAGUGGGACUGCCAACAGAACAAACAGAAUUUUAAGGUUGAAAGGCAUAAGAACUUACAGGGUGGCAAAAAAGAAAAGAAUCCUUUUGGGAUCAAUCGCCCAUGAAAAUGGAGGACGCUUGAAACUGUUUCUCCUGCCGAUGUAUCUGCUUUCUGUAGAAGCAUUCAUAUUGCCGGUAGUAUUGAUGGUGAUCUGAUGAUGAACUUGUGGGCUACCGGAAUAAUCAGUGGUCCCAGCCGCUACCAGCAAGCUUUUUUCAGUCAUGUUAGGCCCUACUCAAAAGCAAUUCCAGAUUAACUAGCAUUAUUAUUUCACCAUCUAUUUUCCAAUAAUUCAAUUGCACAUGUCUUCGGUUAAAGUACACCAUCAAAAUGAAUAAUCCUUAAACUGUACUUUGCAAUUCAGCAAUUUGAUCAUUGUUUGUCCGGUGGUAGUAGUAGAA